UUUGCAGGAGAGGCUCUGGGGUUGAAGAACUGGAUGAGGAUAACUAUCGGAGUGGAAGCUCAUAUGCUUGAGGAUGCACUUGAGAGACUCAAGGGUUUCUGUACACGCCAUACCAAGAAGACAGUUACAGAAACUGAGUCACCUUCAAGCGUUUAAAAUGAGUCAUAGUGUCGGGAUAGUGGAUAUUACAUGGAUUGUACACGCCCCCAAGCCGUGUGAUUGUACGUUCAAUGUGCCAGGGGAUGUUCUUGUGAUAUAUCUAUCAUGCCUUUCCAUUCCCUUCUGUUUUAUUAUCUAAACUAAAUUUCAAACCAAAUAAAAACUCUUGUAAACUUUUCAAAUAGCAUCAAGGAUCCAGUGUCUAGGGCCACAAUUAUUUACUCCUUAUUAUUCGCUCUGUACCCUAUUUUUCAAGUACUAGUAGUUGUCAAAUUGGGCACUAAUUAAUAGAAUUUAAAUACUUGCAAAUACAAAAUAAAUAACAAGUAGGAAAAAUAAUUAGCUACGAGACAAAAAAAAAUUGUUGUUGUGAAAAAGAUAUGAUAUCGUUAUAUCCAGAGAUUCAUCUUUUCAUUCUUUUUUUUAUAUUUAUAAUAUGCACAAAUAUUUCCUUUAUUUUUAACUCUGUGUCUUAGUAAAGUACACAAAAUAAACUCUCAUUUUCUUUUCUAGUAAAUAUCUAGUAAUAUAAAACUUGGUUCUUCAAAGUUGAUAAUUAACAUGAUCGCGACACUUAACAAUUAUAUAUUUAACAUUGUGACAUGUGUUAAUAUAUCUCAUAAUAAAAAAUAUAUAUACUAAGGUAUUAACAAAAAUAUUGAAUAUUAUUAAAAAUCUAAUUAUAUAUAUUAUUUAAUAGUAAUUUUUCUUUUUUAAUAUCCUAAUCAAAAGAUAAUUGCAAAAUAUUAUUUACUAAUAAUUUUCUUUCUAAUAUUUUGACAGUUGUUUAAAUAUAUAAUGAUUAAAAAUAUAUAUAAUAUUUAUUAUAUAAGGUUUUGUUUUUCAAAGUUAUUAAUUAACAUGAUCGUAACAAAUAAAAAUUAUAUAUUUACGAUUGUGACAUGUGUUAAUCUAUCUCAUAUUAUAUAUAUACACACUAAGAUAUUAACAAAAACCAAUUUAAUUAAAAAUCUUAUUAUAUAUAUUAUUUAAUAGUAAUUUCCCUUUUGUUAAAAUCCUAAUCAAAAGAUUAUUUGAUAAUAAUAUUUCUACUAAUAUUGUGACAUGUGUUUAAAUAUAUAAUGAUUAAAAAUAUAUAUAAUAAAACAAUAAAAUGAAUUUUGAAAAAACUACUUUUAAAAAAUAUUUAACACUAAAAACGAUUUUUAGAAAAUAUUUAGUAGUAAUGUUUAUAGAAAUUUUCCUUUUUCAAAAUCCUAAAAAAAUACAUUUGAAAACAAUUUAUUUAAUAUAAUUUUUCUUUUCUAAAAUUUUAAUGAAAAUAUAAUUAUAAAAGAUUAUAUUGAGCCUGGUUCAUCAAAAUUGCUAAUUAACAUGAUUGUGACACAUAAUAGUUAUAUAUUUAAAAAUGUGAUAUGUGUUAAACUAUAUCAUAAUCAAAAAAAAUAUACUAAAAUAAUAAUAAAUGAUUUUUCUUAAAACUUUAUUAUAAAUAUUAUUAUUAUUAUCAUUAUUAUUAUUAUUAUUUUUCAUUAUAAUUUUUGACUUAAAAGAUAUGAAAGAUAGAGAAUUAUAAAAGAUAAACAUUAACUUUUAAGAAAAAAAUGUUAAACAAAAACCAAUUGUAAAAUCCUACAAGUACAAUAAAUUAUUUAGUAAAAACAUGAAGAAAAAAUAACUUUAAAAUAAAUAAUAAUACUUUUUUCGAAGCAUAAUUAAAAGAAAAUUGUAAACGUACUAUUAUUAUUUUCUUAUAAGUAAAUAACUUACUUUUUUUAAUAGAUAAUUCUAUGUUAGAAAAUUAAGACAAAAAUAGCUACAAAUAUUUCACAUCUAUAUUUAGGUUUAAGCUUUCACAUAUUACUUUUAAAAAACACAAUAGUAUUUACAUACACAACUUUUUAUUAUCUUUAUUACAUCUUAUAAGGCUAGCAUAACUUUUAAUUUUGAUGCUAUUUUCUUAUAUGAAUAUGUGUGAAUAUGAUAAAUAUGUGUUUGUAUGUAUAAGGAAAAAUAUAUAAAUAAUUAAACAGAAUUUUUAUAUUAAAAAUAAAAUAAUUGUAUAAAAUCUAAAAGAAAUAAAAUGAUUAAUUUCCUUUUUAAAGUCUAAAUAAAAUAAAAAACGUAAAAGUAAUCUUAUUUUACUAUAAUUUACUAACUUUAAUUUUUAAUAAUUUUGUGUUAAAAAAUAUAAACCAAAAUUAACUUCAAAUAUAUGUGUCAAUUAAAAAAUUAGAUUGUGAAUGUUUCAAUAAAAACUUCUAUUAUGUGAAAAUAAUUGUUUUUUCCUAAAAUCUUAAAUAAAUGAGAUUUCUAAAAGAAAAUUAUUUUCUAAUCUUAACCAAUUAAGAAUUUUUUUAAAUCGUGACCAGAGAGAAUUGUAAAAUUUUAUUUAAUAGUAAUUUUUACUUCAAAAUUUUAAUGAUAAACAUGAUAUUAAAAAUUAUUGAAUUAAAAAGAAAAAUUCUAUAAAUAUUAAUGAUAUUGAAAAAUACGAAUUUUGAAAAUUGCAACAUUAAAAUAGUUAAUAUUAACUGGAAAUACUUUUUUGAUAGAAAUUUUAUGUUUUUAAAUCCUAGACAAAAUAUGAUUGUAAGAGAUUAUGUAGUUUUAAUUUCCUUUUCUAAAUUUCUACAAAACUGUAAUAGAAUAUUUGGUAGUUUUUUUCCUUUUUAUUAAAAAAAUCCUAAACAAAAUAAAUUUGUAUAAUAUUUUUAAGUCCUAACCGAAGGAAAAAUUGUAAAAAUUUAUUUGAUAUUAUUUUUAAGAGAGUGUUUGAUGAUGAACAUGAUAUUAAAAAUUAUUUAAUUAACAAAAGAAGUGUAGAAUUAGUAUUGAUACGAAUUGUUAAAAUAGCAAUUUUAAAAGUGUUUACUAAUAACUAAAAACAAUUAUUUGAUAGCAAUAUAUUUUUUUCUAAAAUUCUAAAGAGAAGAUAAUUGUAAUAGUUUAUAUGAUAGUAACUAACAUUUUCUAAAAUCUUAAACAAAAUUGUUAAAUAGUAUUUAAUUUUAGUUUUUAUUGUAAAUAAAAAGGAGAUUUAUAAAAUAGAAUGUUUUCCUUUUUUAAAAAAUCAUAGCAAAAUUAAAUUUUAAAGACUUAUUUAAUAAAACAUUAAAUUAGUACAUAAGAACAUGUAUAAUGUUGUCAUUGAUUUGAUUGGUGUAUUUAACUUUCAUUUCUUUUUUACUUUUCAUUUCUUAUUUCAGACUGUGUUCAGUUUAAAUGUUUAUGUUUAGUAUUUUCUCUAAUCUUUACUCUAUAAAGUUUAUAACAACUCAUCUAUGCACCAUAAUUAUAAAAUACAAAUAUUAACUUGAACUUAUGUGUGAAAAUAAUUUUUAAUUAUAAAAUAAAUCUCAAACACCAUAUGUUAAAACAAUCAUAAUAAAAUAAUAAAAUAAUUUAUUAUUUUAUGGUUUUUAUUAAAUUAAAACAUCGGACAAAACCCGUUGCAACGCAACGGGCUCAUAUCUUGUUAUUUAAUAAAUAGUUCUUAAAUAUUUGAAAGUACUUAUAUGUAAUUCACAAGUACUCGAACUAUGAAUAGUUAAUACACCCAUAUUAACAGUUUCACGUUCUGUUAACAAAACUGGAGCUGUCAUUGGUGGAGAACAUCAGUGAAGACAUUGAUUUCUGUGUGAUACUCGCCAGAGACGUUGUGUUUCUACCAGGUGAAGCAAAAGAAAACCAAGAAACAAGAACCUUGUGUUUCUAUGCGAUUCAAUGGAUUUCAUUUUGAGGGCGGGGGGAGAGGCUACAAAACUAGAUGAGGAUAACUAUCGGAGUGGAAGCUCAUAUGAUUGAGGAUGCACUUGAGAGACUCAAGGGUUUCUGUACACGCCAUACCAAGAAGACAGUUACAGAAACUGAGUCACCUUCAAGCGUUUAAAAUGAGUCAUAGUGUCGGGAUAGUGGAUAUUACAUGGAUUGUACACGCCCCCAAGCCGUGUGAUUGUACGUUCAAUGUGCCAGGGGAUGUUCUUGUGAUAUAUCUAUCAUGCCUUUCCAUUCCCUUCUGUUUUAUUAUCUAAACUAAAUUUCAA
rnacentral:lncRNA from 1 species